rnacentral:miRNA from 1 species
GGAGUCUUGUUAAAAUGCAGAAUUUGAUUCAGUAGUUCUGGAAUGGGGCCAAGAUUCUGCAUUUCAAACAAGUUC